AGUGAACGCUGGCGGUAGGCCUAACACAUGCAAGUCGAACGGCAGCACAGUAAGAGCUUGCUCUUACGGGUGGCGAGUGGCGGACGGGUGAGGAAUACAUCGGAAUCUACUUUUUCGUGGGGGAUAACGUAGGGAAACUUACGCUAAUACCGCAUACGACCUACGGGUGAAAGCAGGGGAUCUUCGGACCUUGCGCGAUUGAAUGAGCCGAUGUCGGAUUAGCUAGUUGGCGGGGUAAAGGCCCACCAAGGCGACGAUCCGUAGCUGGUCUGAGAGGAUGAUCAGCCACACUGGAACUUGGACAGGGUCCAGACUCCUACGGGAGGCAGCAGUGGGGAAUAUUGGACAAUGGGCGCAAGCCUGAUCCAGCCAUACCGCGUGGGUGAAGAAGGCCUUCGGGUUGUAAAGCCCUUUUGUUGGGAAAGAAAAGCAGCAGGUUAAUACCCCGCUGUUCUGACGGUACCCAAAGAAUAAGCACCGGCUAACUUCGUG
rnacentral:rRNA from 1 species